AACGAACGCUGGCGGCGUGGAUAAGACAUGCAAGUCGGACGAGAUUUUUCGUUGUAGCAAUACGAUGGAAAGUCUAGUGGCGAACGGGUGCUUAACACGUGGGCAACCUGCCAAGAAGUGGGGGACAGCUCGCCGAAAGGCGAAUUAAUACCGCAUGAGAUUGGAGAGGACAUCCUUUCCAAAUUAAAGUCGGGGCAACCUGACGCUUCUUGUGGGGCCCGCGGCCUAUCAGCUAGUUGGUGAGGUAACGGCUCACCAAGGCUUUGACGGGUAGCUGGUCGGAGAGGACGACCAGCCACACUGGGACUGAGACAGGGCCCAGACACCUACGGGUGGCAGCAGUCGAGAAUCUUUCUCAAUGGGGGAAACCCUGAAGGAGCGACGCCGCGUGGAGGAUGAAGUUCUUCGGAUUGUAAACUCCUGUAAUUGGGGAACAAGGUGCAUACGUUAACUGCGUGUGCAUUGAUAGUACCCGAAGAGGAAGAGACGGCUAACUCUGUGCCAGCCGCCGCGGUAAUAC
rnacentral:rRNA from 1 species